AUUCUGCCAAUGCGGGGAAGGAUGAGAAGCUUCGACCAAGGUUCGACUCGAGCGCCAGCGAGAGAGCGUUGCCGCAGGCAACGACCCGAAGGGCGAAGCGCGCAGCGCUGAGUAAUCCUUCCCCCACCACCA
rnacentral:sRNA from 1 species